AGAGUGAACGCUGGCGGCAGGCCUAACACAUGCAAGUCGAACGGCAGCACGGUAAGAGCUUGCUCUUAUGGGUGGCGAGUGGCGGACGGGUGAGGAAUACAUCGGAAUCUACCUUUUGGUGGGGGAUAACGUAGGGAAACUUACGCUAAUACCGCAUACGCCCUUCGGGGGAAAGCCGGGGACCAGCAAUGGCCUGGCGCUGAUAGAUGAGCCGAUGUCGGAUUAGCUAGUUGGUGAGGUAAUGGCUCACCGAAGGCGACGAUCCGUAGCUGGUCUGAGAGGAUGAUCAGCCACACUGGAACUGAGACACGGUCCAGACUCUACGGGAGCAGCAGUGGGGAAUAGUUGGAACAAGUGGGACG
rnacentral:rRNA from 1 species